rnacentral:rRNA from 1 species
UACCCUUGACAUGUACGGAAUCCCGGAGAGAUUUGGGAGUGCUCGAAAGAGAGCCGUAACACAGGUGCUGCAUGGCUGUCGUCAGCUCGUGUCGUGAGAUGUUGGGUUAAGUCCCGCAACGAGCGCAACCCUUGUCAUUAGUUGCUACAUUCAGUUGAGCACUCUAAUGAGACUGCCGGUGACAAACCGGAGGAAGGUGGGGAUGACGUCAAGUCCUCAUGGCCCUUAUGGGUAGGGCUUCACACGUCAUACAAUGGUACAUACAGAGGGCCGCCAACCCGCGAGGGGGAGCUAAUCCCAGAAAGUGUAUCGUAGUCCGGAUCGCAGUCUGCAACUCGACUGCGUGAAGUUGGAAUCGCUAGUAAUCGCGGAUCAGCAUGUCGCGGUGAAUACGUUCCCGGGUC